ensembl:lncRNA
GGUGUGGAAGGCUUUAGAAUAAAAGUACAGUAGUACUGUCAGCAUCAAACCGCUCUGAACCCAGACACACAGCAGCUUCGUGGCGCUUUUCUUUCACGUCCCGCUAUGUCCUCAGACAGUACCAUGGACUUGGACUUGGAGCUUGGUGAGUUGCUCCAGGAGUUCCAGGAUGUGGUGGAGGAGCUGAAGGCCCCUUCUCAAAGCAGACCGCAUGCUUACCAGAAAGCAUUGCACGAGGCCAAAACUCUCACAGGGCUGAGUGAAGACAGUGGAGUCGAGGACUCAGAUUACAGCAGUGAACCAUCUAUGGGGAACAGUUUGAAUACCAGUGAGGAGGAGCUCCACACAGCAGGAAUAACGCUGGCAUCAAAAGCCAAGCUGGGAGACACAAGGGAUCUUGAGAGUUUUAUCGACAUGUUGGACCGGGAACUUGCUGAACAGAUCUGAUGGAGCAAAUGGUCCCCUCGCCGCUCCGGGGGAAAAGGUUAACAUCCGAAAUUAAAAGGGCAGUCCAUUCCGAAAAUGCAAGAACUCCCACAGACCCCCGGCGAUGCUGCGUCCAGCCAGCAAAGACAACGUCCGCCUGCAGCAUCAGAUCCAGGAUGUGUGACAUAUUCUUAAAAUGAGACAAAGCUUCCAUCUGUUUGGGCAUGUGACAAAAAAGAAAGAAGAAACACAACAAAAACACUGCCUAGAGUAUAGAAAGCAUGUUUAUCCCACAUUUUAAAAAAAAAUCCCAUAAGUGCAAUGCCUGGAAAGGGCUCUAAAUCCUCACGGCUGUGUAGUUUUGAAGAAAGCUGAGCUUUGUCUGGAUCAAAAUCUUAGACGGCACAAAAGUUUUAGGCUAAUUUCAAACUAAUUUUAAUUAGAAGGGCAUUUCUGGUGUACAGGUCUUUAUGAUAUUUGUUUUGUUUUAAUAAUAUAUAAUGUAUAUACAGAUGAAUGCAUGUAAAAAUAAAAAGAGAUUUGUAAUGAA